GUGCCAGCAGCCGCGGUAAUACGUAGGAUGCAAGCGUUGUUCGGAAUUACUGGGCGUAAAGAGUACGUAGGCGGUUUGAUAAGUCUGCUAUUAAAGACUGGAGCUUAACUCCAGGACUGUAGUGGAAACUGUCAGACUAGAGGACAAUAGAGGAAGUCGGAAUUCUCAGUGUAGCGGUGAAAUGCGUAGAUAUUGGGAAGAACACCAGUGGCGAAAGCGGACUUCUGGGUUGUUACUGACGCUGAGGUACGAAAGCGUGGGGAGCAAACGGGAUUAGAAACCCUCGUAGUCC
rnacentral:rRNA from 1 species